rnacentral:rRNA from 1 species
GAUGAACGCUGGCGGCGUGCCUAAUACAUGCAAGUCGAGCGAACAGAUAAGGAGCUUGCUCCUUUGACGUUAGCGGCGGACGGGUGAGUAACACGUGGGUAACCUACCUAUAAGACUGGGAUAACUUCGGGAAACCGGAGCUAAUACCGGAUAACAUUUGGAACCGCAUGGUUCUAAAGUGAAAGAUGGUUUUGCUAUCACUUAUAGAUGGACCCGCGCCGUAUUAGCUAGUUGGUAAGGUAACGGCUUACCAAGGCGACGAUACGUAGCCGACCUGAGAGGGUGAUCGGCCACACUGGAACUGAGACACGGUCCAGACUCCUACGGGAGGCAGCAGUAGGGAAUCUUCCGCAAUGGGCGAAAGCCUGACGGAGCAACGCCGCAUGAGUGAUGAAGGGUUUCGGCUCGUAAAACUCUGUUAUUAGGGAAGAACAAACGUGUAAGUAACUGUGCACGUCUUGACGGUACCUAAUCAGAAAGCCACGGCUAACUACGUG